GUUUCUUUCAUGUGGUUUGGUUUUGGUUAGUUUAUUGUGUACUUCUAAGCAUAGUUUGUAUGUUAUUCCCGAAAACAGAUGCUUCUUAAGAACCAGAUGACCUACUGUUUGACUUCCAAAAACAAACGUGAGGCUCUCAUCCCUCCAGUCGAUUUGUCUUUCCCUGAAGCUUAAGGGCAUAGUUAGAGAAUGCAGCUGUAUCAAAUACCACGAUAACAGUAUCCCUUCUGCAGAUAACGUUCUCCGCUGAGUCUUGCUCCCUCCUCCUGUCUGUUCCCUCCCUUACUCCACAAAGUUCAUUCACAACGAACUCCGAAGAACUACUGCUUUUUGUCCCCGAUGGAACCUCAGCAGCCCACUACGCAUUCUCAACACCCAAGGAGCCUCCCCUCGCCCAGGGCUAGACGCAGUGACCAAUCGCCCCCGGCUACGGGAGGGCCGCUCCGCGCAUGCGCAGCAGCCGCCGAACCCCUCCUCCCACCCGAGGGCUCCCGAACCGUUCCGAAGCCCCCAUCGGGGCACGCAUGCGCGCUGGGCGGCGGGCAGUCUUCCCAACGUCCUUCUGUACGGCCCCCCCUCCCCGCGGAUCCCAGUCCUCCUCCCGAGGCCUCCAGCGCGCAUGUGCGGUUGCCAGGGCGGCCGGCUGCGGUGAAGGUUUAAAAUCGGCGGGGCAUGCGCAGCGCCGGUUCUGGCUCUGGCGAGGGGGACGCCACAUUGGAUCGGCGCGGGGAGCGCUCCGGGCAGCGCCGGGCCGGUACGGUGCUCGCCUCGCCGGGCCGCAUGCCGCUGCUCCCGGCCCGCGCGUAGCGCCGCUCCGGGCCCGGCGCGCUGAGGCGAGCGGCUGCGCGGUGAGCGGGCGGCGGCGCGGCGCUCUGGCCGGGCCGUGAGGGUCGGAGGCGGGCGGGCGUGGAUGGAUCCCCGCGUGGCCUGGAUCCAGCCCGAGCAGAAAGGCCCCGCGAAUGCGCUCUGGAUGCAGAUCUGGGAGACCUCGCAGGGCGUGGGGGGCCGCGGCGGCGGCGCCUUCCCGCACUACCUCUGCCUCAACUCCCCGGCGCUGGACUCGGCCGCCGCCGCCGCCUCACCGCCCCGCGGCCACGGCUGCGCCCGGCUCGGGGCGCCCGGCGGCGGCUGCUGCUCCUCGUCCUCGCCGCCGUCGCCUUCGCCGUCCCCCCCGGCGCUGCUGACCGGACUGGUGCCCGCCGCCGGCCCCGCGGCGGUGGUGAACGGCGGCGGCGAGGGAGGGCGGCGGCUUCAGAAGUCGCCCUCGGUGUCUUCCUCGUCCUCCUGCUCGUCGGUGGAGUCCGGCACCGAGAGCCCCGGCUUCUCCUCCUCGGGGUCGUGCGGAGGCGGCGGCGGCUCCUCCUCUUCCUCCUGCGGCCCCCGGGCGGCGGUGGCCCCUCCCGGGCUGCCGGGCAGCGGGGCCGGGCCCGGGGAGUUCUUCAACUUCCACGAGAGCGGCAAAGCGAACGGCGCGCACGGGCACCACCCGGCCCCGCACCUCUCCCGCAGCCCUCACCCGCCGCCGCCGGCCUCUCCCCAGCAGCACCAGUACCACCCGGGCCGCAGGAAACGAGAGAACAAGGCUAGCACCUAUGGCAUGAAUUACCUGCUCUCCGGCAGCCGCGGCGUGGUCGUCGCCGCCUCCCCGCACCAGCAGCGCCAGCCGCCCCAGCCCGCGCUGCAGAGCCCCGGCACCCCCUGGAAGAGCAGGAAGUACAGCCCGGGCGUGCAGGGACUGCAUGAAGAAAUAAUUGACUUCUAUGACUUCAUGUCCCCUCGUCCGGAAGAAGCAGCUAUGAGAAGAGAAGUGGUAAAAAGAAUAGAAACUGUCAUCAAAGAUCUUUGGCCUACAGCUGAUGUCCAGAUAUUUGGCAGCUUUAGUACAGGGCUUUAUCUUCCAACUAGUGAUAUUGAUUUAGUUGUUUUUGGGAAAUGGGAACGCCCCCCCUUACAGCUGCUGGAGCAAGCGCUAAGAAAACACAAUGUGGCUGAGCCAUAUUCCAUCAAAGUACUUGAUAAAGCUACGGUACCAAUAAUAAAACUUACUGACCAGGAGACAGAAGUGAAAGUUGACAUCAGUUUUAAUGUAGAAACUGGUGUGAAGGCAGCUCGAUUUAUCAAGGAAUACAUGAAGAAAUAUUCUUUGCUGCCUUACUUGAUUUUAGUAUUAAAGCAGUUCCUACUUCAGAGGGACUUGAAUGAAGUUUUUACUGGUGGAAUUAGCUCUUAUAGCCUAAUUUUAAUGGCAAUUAGUUUCCUGCAGCUGCAUCCAAGAAUUGAUGCCAGAAGAGCUGAUGAAAACCUUGGAAUGCUUCUGAUAGAAUUCUUUGAACUCUAUGGAAGGAAUUUUAACUACUUGAAAACUGGUAUUAGAAUAAAAAAUGGAGGUGCCUAUAUUGCCAAAGAAGAAAUCAUGAAAGUCAUGACUAACGGAUACAGACCAUCCAUGUUAUGUAUUGAAGAUCCUCUCCUGCCUGGAAACGACGUUGGCAGAAGUUCUUACGGUGCCAUGCAAGUGAAACAAGUUUUUGAUUAUGCCUACAUUGUUCUUAGCCAUGCAGUAUCACCACUUGCAAGAUCAUAUCCAAAUAGAGAUUCUGAGAGCACAUUAGGUAGAAUCAUCAAAGUGACCCAAGAAGUGAUUGACUACAGGGCCUGGAUUAAAAAGAAGUGGGGGAGCAAAAUUAAUUUAUCACCUGAACUUGAUAAUAGGUUGAAAAUAAGAGACCAGAUAGCUCCAUGCAAUGGAGAACAGAACAACAACAGAGACUCUGAAUCAUCUUACAACCAACGCUUGACUUUGUCAUUGACUAGUACACAACAGUUAUCCUCUGGCUCAUCUGCGUCGUCUGUAUCAUCACUCUCUGGCAGUGACAUUGAUUCUGAUACACCACCUUGCACAGCUCCUAAUGUUUACCAGUUCAGUCUGCAAGCACCGACUCAACUUAUGGCCAGUUUACCACCAGCAUUGCCUAUGCCAAGUGGUAAACCCCAAUCUGCGCCUACGAGAACCUUGAUAAUGGCCGCCAGUAAUCAGCAGCACACUGGAAUGAAGUUUUCCAUGAAAGGAACUCAUAACCAAGGCAACAGCUACAGUCCUGUCAACAGUGGAGGCAUGAGGCAACCGGAGAGCACAGCCCAGUGUUGUACGCAGUAUGAGUGGCUGGCACUUAAUUUACAGAUGCAUACAGGUAAUUUGAACAACAAUUUCAAUAUGCGUGCCAGACAUCUUCAGAAUGAACUUGGAAGUUGGAUGGGUGCCAUCUGCAUACUGUUCUUUGUAUAUAUAAAGGGGGUAACGAAUAUGGCUGUUGGUUCCAUGGUUGUGGUUUUGGUCCCUUGAUAAUGAGAGCGCAAAGGAAUGAGAGGGAGGAAAAGCUGAAUCUUCUGAUGAACUACCUUCACUCCUUCAGUAGUACUGUUGAAUGUAUCUAGCUAAUUUUGGUGCCAAGAUGAGUAGGUGAAACUCCUGGACAAGCAAGUCUUGACAUGUGAUAAAAGAUGGGUACCCUUUCACAUAAUCAUAUGAGAGAUCAUCCAAACAACUUUGUUCUCUUGGGAAAUUUCUUUGGAGACUGAUGAACAAAGUAUAAGGCUGAUCUGUUGUUCAUAUGUGCCUGUGCAGUUUCGUGGUUGAACAGUGUUGCAGUUUCCAAAAGCAAAUGCAUGAUUUGUUCUGAUAUUCCUGUGGGAACUUAGGAGGGAGUGCAGGGGAAGCCCAGCAGACCUGUUUGGUUUACAAAAAAUAAAAAUGCAACUUCUGAUGAAGAGCAAGUCCAUGCAACAGCCUUACUGAUUAGUUCUUUUUUCAGUAGUUGAACAAUUUGACUUACCGUUUUGUCCCAAUCCCCUGUUAAAGAGCUGCCAAGGAAUGCAAGCUUGUGUGGUUGUGAAUGUUAGAAAUCAUGAGCGGUAAAGUGCUGAAUGGAAAUGCUCCAUGGACAAGGAUAAGGCCUGGAUAAGGCUCCAAGCAACCUAAUCUAAAGUUAGCCCUGCUGGACCAGGAGGUUCAGACAGCCUAUACAGACUUCUUCCUAAUCUGAAUUUGUUUGUGAUAUUACAAGAAAGGGUAACUGUUUUUUUGAUGUAACUUCAUCUCUAUUAGGUUUAUGGAGUGUUUUAAUGGAGGCGGAAGUCAGACCAAGAAUAGGGUUGGUUGUCCUGCACUUCACAAAAUACCUCUGCAAAUUUUACGACCGAUAGGUUAAAACAGUUAUGGCAGGAUCUACAGAUGCAAACAGAUUUAUUGGAUCUACUGACACAUGAGGAUGUACUUCUGGAAAUUCAUCAAAGCUCAGCUGGGCAUCUAUGAUAUCAUGUCAAAAUGAUGUGAAGUACCAGGGAUGACAGAUACCAUCACCCAGCGUUUUGCAGCUGUUUGCGUGAUUCUUGUAUUGACAAACUUUUGAUCUCUGGCUUUGAUGCAGGAAUGACUUAACCUCCUGGGGAUGCUGAGCCUACUAGCUGGCUGUCAUUUCAGAUCUGUAGAUUACAAGAAUAUGACCUGACUUGGAUGUCCUGGGCAAUGUGGAAAUGACUGAGAUAGCCAGCCUUCCUUUUUCAGUUUUGGUGGAGAACUGCAUAUUGUUUCCUGUUAGGUGCUUUUUUGAUAUUUGGAAGAAAAAGACAUGCAACAUCUCAAACCCCUCUAAUACCUCUAGACCUGUCAGUGGAUAAAAUACCAUGGGGGGCUUUUAUGGCACCCUUUGACCUAGCCUGGCAUCCAAAACCUAACUUUGUCCUUGAUGUCUUUUGCUUUCCAUUUCUGUUCACUACUCUACUGGUACAGGAUGGUUUAAACUUGAAUGCUGCUCCUCGUGGUAUGGUUUCUGACUGGCUGUGAUGUCUUGAAAGAGUGAAUUCUUUGCCAGAAGGAAGGGUCCUUGCAGGAGGAAGGAGAGAUCUGCUAUGCAGCUCUUGUCUCUAAAUAGGAUACAUUUUUCUCUGCCCCCUCUCCAACUCCCUCUCUGAUGUCUUUCCCUGUACAGUCAAGUCAUGCUGACCUGAAAGAUUUUUCUGCUCUUCUAGUUUGUUUGUGAUAACUUACAAUGGAUUGACCAGUCAUGUCUAACCCAGGGGCUCCCUGUGGCCCAGAGCAGCUAUUUGCCUUGCUGAGUGGCCUGGCCCAACCUCAGGCAUGCACCGUGACUCAGCAACAACUAAAACAUCAGCCCAAGAAAAUUUCUCUUCACUCAACAUGACCCAAGCAAGCCAAAAUGUUGGACACCCAUGAUCUAGACAGACCCAAAGAGGGGAGGGUUUUCCAUUAAGCUAAUUCUAACUAUUACUUGCUCUACAAUAUUUGUAAUGCUAAUGUUCCCAGAUUUAUGCAGGAGGCAGCUUUUUUUCUUCCCUUUAUACACUGCCUGCAGCUCUAAAUUCAGUGCUUAAAGAUAUGUCAUGAGUGUGCCCUUAGGCUAUAGCAUAGUCUUGUGGUUUAUACAACAGAAUUUUGUGCAUCUUCUGGAAAGAGUUGGGAUUCAGAUCUGACUCUGUUAAACCUUUAUUCUUGUUAAUUUCCUUCUCUUGAUCCUUUCAAAUGUCUGAUGUAGUUUUCUCUGAAGUACAUUUAGGAUCUUUUUCUCUUAGACCAAAUGUUUCCAGGCCAGAGUUUUUGAAGUUCACUUAGAUCUAGCAGCUCUAAUUUUUUUAAUGUUUGUGGAACUAUGUCUCAGGCUCAAUACUGUAUUUCUCAGCAGUGCUAAGACUGUUGUUUUCUGGAGGACUCAGAAAUGCCCGUACAGAUACUGAGGUGCAGGAUGAUGCCUAAAGUAUCUGAGAGCAUAAGCAAUCAUGCCAACCAAACCUCAAAGAAAGAAAAGGCUGGUAAGCACUAAAUGCGAGAGAAAGAGUUGUUUUCAUGUGCGUUUUGUAGAGCUUUUGAGAAAUUAUAAGUGGAAGUCCCUGUGGAGUGCCGGAAUUGGAUGUUGCUCAUCCAGCAAUAAGACUUCGAAUCGACUCGAGUGUGGGAUUAUUUUUAGUCAUAUAAUCUCUUUACAGAGCUUCACAAGAUUUCCCGCUGUUAAUGAGAAUGGAAUCACAGAAUCAUCGAGGUUGGAGAAGAUUUUCAAGAUCAGCAAGUCAAUCCUCAACCAAAUCCCAUUAUGAUUUCAUGAGAGGCUGUGUCAUGGGAUAAAUGAAAACCCAGUAAGGUGGGGACUAUUAGAUUUGCUGCAGACAUGUGCCCGUGGUCCAAACUGUAACACUGAUAGAGCAACACCUACAGACUCCUGUAGAACUAGAAUCGUAAUGACAGUGAAUACAAACAGCUUGCAUUCAGCUUCACCCACAGUAUUCAGGUUAGAAUAUCUUUAUUUACUGCAUUUCAUAUUUUCACAUCCCUAAGUGGAGAUUAUUUUGUAUACUGCUUCUCAUUUUAAUUGCAUGGUAUACUUCUAAAUAAUAAAUAGCUAAUUUAUUCCUACAGACAAUUAACGUCAGCCGAACAGAAAUUUACUAGUUCUUACAAAAGUAAAAUGGAAGAACUUCAUCCAGGGACACGAAAUAGUAUGACUAAUAUGCAUGAAUACAAUACUCAAUACUCUGAGUACUGAAGUAUUGUAUUCCUGAGUACAGUCCAAAAAGCACUACUAGUGUGCAAUUUUAGGAAAAAAAAUAAAUUGUUUCAUUUUAUAAAUGCAUUCACCAACUAUGCAAGCUGGGGUAAUAUGGCAGGGGUCUACAAAUCCAUAAGUACCACAGGGAAAAAUGCAGAGGGACUGCCUAAUCA